rnacentral:rRNA from 1 species
UACACUCCUGCGGGAGGCAGCAGUGGGGAAUUUUGGACAAUGGGCGAAAGCCUGAUCCAGCCAUGCCGCGUGCAGGAUGAAGGCCUUCGGGUUGUAAACUGCUUUUGUACGGAACGAAACGGCCUUUUCUAAUAAAGAGGGCUAAUGACGGUACCGUAAGAAUAAGCACCGGCUAACUACGUGCCAGCAGCCGCGGUAAUACGUAGGGUGCAAGCGUUAAUCGGAAUUACUGGGCGUAAAGCGUGCGCAGGCGGUUAUGUAAGACAGUUGUGAAAUCCCCGGGCUCAACCUGGGAACUGCAUCUGUGACUGCAUAGCUAGAGUACGGUAGAGGGGGAUGGAAUUCCGCGUGUAGCAGUGAAAUGCGUAGAUAUGCGGAGGAACACCGAUGGCGAAGGCAAUCCCCUGGACCUGUACUGACGCUCAUGCACGAAAGCGUGGGGAGCAAACAGGAUUAGAUACCCCAGUAGUCCAU